rnacentral:rRNA from 1 species
GAUGAACGCUGGCGGCGUGCCUAAUACAUGCAAGUCGAGCGAACGGACGAGAAGCUUGCUUGUCUGAUGUUAGCGGCGGACGGGUGAGUAACACGUGGAUAACCUACCUAUAAGACUGGGAUAACUUCGGGAAACCGGAGCUAAUACCGGAUAAUAUUUUGAACCGCAUGGUUCAAAAGUGAAAGACGGUCUUGCUGUCACUUCUAGAUGGAUCCGCGCUGCAUUAGCUAGUUGGUAAGGUAACGGCUUACCAAGGCAACGAUGCAUAGCCGACCUGAGAGGGGGAUCGGCCACACGGGAACUGAGACACGGUCCAGACUCCUACGGGAGGCAGCAGUAGGGUAUCUUCCGCAAUGGGCGAAAGCCUGACGGAGCAACGCCGCGCGAGUGAUGAAGGUCUUCGGAUCGGAAAACUCUGUUACUAGGGAAGAACAUAUGUGUAAGUAACUGAGCACAUCUUGACGGUACCUAAUCAGAAAGCCACGGCUAACUACGUG